rnacentral:rRNA from 1 species
GAUGAACGCUGGCGGCGUGCUUAACACAUGCAAGUCGAACGAUGAAGCCCAGCUUGCCGGGUGGAUUAGUGGCGAACGGGUGAGUAACACGUGAGUAACCUGCCCUUAACUCUGGGAUAAGCCCGGGAAACUGGGUCUAAUACCAGCUAGGAGCGUGCACCGCAUGGUGGGUGUUGGAAAGAUUUAUCGGUUUUGGAUGGAUUGGCGGCCUAUCAGCUUGUUUGUGAGGUAUUGGCUCACCAAGGCGACGCCGGGUAGCCGGCCUGAGAGGGUGACCGGCCACACGGGGCCUGCGAGACGCCCCAGUCUCCAAUGGGAGGCAGCAGUGGAGAAUAUUGCACAGUGGGCGCGAGCCUGAUGCAGCGACGCCGCGUGAGGGAUGACGGGCUUCGGGUUGUAAACCUCUUUCAGUAUGGAAGAAGCGAAAGUGACGGUACCUGCAGAAGAAGCACCGGCUAACUACGUG